rnacentral:rRNA from 1 species
UACGUAGGGCGCAAGCGUUUAUCCGGAAUUAUUGGGCGUAAAGGGCUCGUAGGCGGUUUGUCGCGUCGGGAGUGAAAACCAUGAGCUUAACUCAUGGCUUGCUUUCGAUACGGGCAGACUAGAGGCAUGCAGGGGAGAACGGAAUUCCUGGUGUAGCGGUGAAAUGCGCAGAUAUCAGGAGGAACACCGGUGGCGAAGGCGGUUCUCUGGGCAUGUCCUGACGCUGAGGAGCGAAAGUGUGGGGAGCGAACAGG